rnacentral:rRNA from 1 species
GGGUUAGUAGGUUGGUCAUGCCACUGGUAUGUACUGGUCUCACCGAUUCCUCCUUCCUGAUGAACUAUAAUGCCAUUAAUUUGGUGUUUUAGGGAAUCAGGACUGUUACUUUGAAAAAAUUAGAGUGUUUAUAGCAGGCUCACGCUUGAAUACAUUAGCAUGGAAUAAUGAAAUAGGACGUUUGAUUCUAUUUUGUUGGUUUCUAGGAUCGACGUA